UCGCACUACUUUCACGCCAUUUUGAGUCGCAACGAGAACCCAAGCACGUCGGCCCGCUGUUCAUCUGCGUCGUAGUCGUGGACUGCGCUUUCUCUUUCUUGGACCUAUUGGAUUGGAAGAAGAUUCUACAUCCGUCCUCCCCUUCCCGGAGCUAGUCUCCAAUAAGAAGGAAAUCCCAUGAUGAGGCACCAGAGUUCCCAACCUACCACAGUCAGACCAGACCACCACGCUGUUGGGCCAGGCAGCCGUGUCGGUCCUAAUGGAUGAAGCCAGGCUUGGAAUGGACACUGCCAAGUGUACUGACCUGAGGUGGGUGUGUAAUGACAUCAGUUGGUGAUACAUCUGAGGUUUUUGGCUACUUUGGCUUGCAAAGUUCUUUUAGACUUGGUUGUCACACAUUGGUCUGUGUGAGGAAAAUUCGACGGCCUCUUUGAUGUGCGGCUCGAUUCAUAUGUCAGUGCCUCUAUUUAGCACCAACUAGUCUAUGCAGUUAUCUCUGGAAGUGCGCUUGUCAGUGUCUAUCAUCAAUCUGGACAUCUUGGAAGACAUGACUCCUGGUCCGAUGGCUGCGAUGGCUGCACUUGGGCAGAUGGUCUCCAAUGAUAGUUGAAGUGAGUACCAUGAUUCGUUGUUCUGAUAACAACUGAUAGGAAUCUAAAUGGCCAAUAUUUCCAUGGCUUGAUUGUUUUUGGUGGUGCGCUCUGUAGUGUGGGUUGUUUGGAAGUUGAGCCUUACUGUAAUGAGUAUUAUUCUGUCAGAAUAAAUAUGAAAGUUACCAAA